CGUACAAUGUCAUGUCAGUUUCAACUCCUGCGCCAUUGUAAAGUCAGGAAAAUAUGUGAAAACGACGGAAAUUCCUUCUUUAGAAGGUUCCAAACGGGUUUAUCCUAAUUGUUCCUUUAUCACAACAUGUGGAAAUCGUGAAAAUUUGCUAAUUUUCAAUCAAAUUAAUCACAUGAAGAAGAACAUUAUAAUCAACUGUAUUUUCAUUUAAUUGAUCACGAUGUUAUAAUCAAAUCACAGGAAAGAGAAGAAUCCUAUUAUAUUUAGUUGACGUUCUAUAAUUUUACAAGCAUGAUGAAAGUGAUGUCAACUAUACUUGACGUCUUUCUUCAGAUACUCUUCUUGCCUAUAUCUGUCAUCUAGCUCUGAAUCAUCAAGUACUACUAUUUUGCAUGUUCUGAAAAUCAACUGUGUGAUGCCGGUGUUUUUCCCGACUUCAAGAAGCUGCAUUCAUGAAAGAUGUAUUCCACUCGGAGUGCGAUAACAAACUUGUCGCUUUCAAUCAGGUAUCAAGGAAACAAGGAGAUAUUAAUUUUAAGUAAUGAAAAAUGAUAAAUGGGAAUAUUAUAUAUGUUUUUAUUAUUUUUAUGAAUAAUAAAUGUUUCUUAUUGUUUUAAUUUUAUUUAGAGUUCAAAAUAUAGUGUACACACUCCGCCUCACAGCAACAAAAUGUAGCCUUGUAACGGCUACUUUCUAUUAUUUAUUUGUAAACCUUGGUAUUCAGGAUGUGUUCUAAAGAGCGCAUCCUAGAUCCUGGUCACGGCACCAAA